GAUGAACGCUGGCGGCGUGCUUAACACAUGCAAGUCGAACGGUGAACGAGGGAGCUUGCUCCCUCCGGAUCAGUGGCGAACGGGUGAGUGACACGUGAGCAAUCUGCCCCGAACUCUGGGAUAAGCGUUGGAAACGACGUCUAAUACCGGAUACGACGCGCGAAGGCAUCUUCUGCGCGUGGAAAGAAUUUCGGUUCGGGAUGAGCUCGCGGCCUAUCAGCUUGUUGGUGAGGUAACGGCUCACCAAGGCGACGACGGGUAGCCGGCCUGAGAGGGUGACCGGCCACACUGGGACUGAGACACGGCCCAGACUCCUACGGGAGGCAGCAGUGGGGAAUAUUGCACAAUGGGCGCAAGCCUGAUGCAGCAACGCCGCGUGAGGGACGACGGCCUUCGGGUUGUAAACCUCUUUUAGUAGGGAAGAAGCGAAAGUGACGGUACCUGCAGAAAAAGCACCGGCUAACUACGUGCCAGCCGCCGCAGUAAUAC
rnacentral:rRNA from 1 species